rnacentral:rRNA from 1 species
UACGUAGGUGGCAAGCGUUGUCCGGAUUUAUUGGGCGUAAAGAGCUCGUAGGCGGCUUGUCGCGUCGACUGUGAAAUCCCGCGGCUCAACUGCGGGUCUGCAGUCGAUACGGGCAGGCUAGAGUUCGGUAGGGGAGACUGGAAUUCCCGGUGUAGCGGUGAAAUGCGCAGAUAUCGGGAAGAACACCCGUGGCUAAGGCGGCUCUCUAGUACGGUACUGACGCUGAGACGCGAAAGCGUGGGGAGCGAACAGG